UCCGGCUUCUCGCCGGCAGUCUCCUAUGAGUCCCCACCAUCACGUGCUGGCAACAUAGAACGAGGGUUGCGCUCGUUGCGGGACUUAACCCAACAUCUCACGACACGAGCUGACGACAACCAUGCACCACCUGUGAACCGGCCCCAAAGGGGAAACCACAUUUCUGCGGAGGUCCGGUCCAUGUCAAGCCUUGGUAAGGUUCUUCGCGUUGCAUCGAAUUAAUCCGCAUGCUCCGCCGCUUGUGCGGGCCCCCGUCAGUUCCUUUGAGUUUCAGCCUUGCGGCCGUACUCCCCAGGCGGAGUGCUUAAUGCGUUUGCUGCAGCACUAAAGGGCGGAAACCCUCUAACACUUAGCACUCAUCGUUUACGGCGUGGACUAC
rnacentral:misc_RNA from 1 species